rnacentral:rRNA from 1 species
CCUACGGGCGGCAGCAGUGGGGAAUAUUGGACAAUGGGGGGAACCCUGAUCCAGCCAUGCCGCGUGUGUGAAGAAGGCCCUCGGGUUGUAAAGCACUUUCAGUGAGGAAGAACGCCUGGUGGUUAAUACCCAUCAGGAAAGACAUCACUCACAGAAGAAGCACCGGCUAACUCCGUGCCAGCAGCCGCGGUAAUACGGAGGGUGCGAGCGUUAAUCGGAAUUAUUGGGCGUAAAGCGCGCGUAGGUGGCUUGAUAAGCCGGUUGUGAAAGCCCCGGGCUCAACCUGGGAACGGCAUCCGGAACUGUCAAGCUAGAGUGCAGGAGAGGAAGGUAGAAUUCCCGGUGUAGCGGUGAAAUGCGUAGAGAUCGGGAGGAAUACCAGUGGCGAAGGCGGCCUUCUGGACUGACACUGACACUGAGGUGCGAAAGCGUGGGUAGCAAACAGGAUUAGAUACCCUAGUAGUC